GAUGAAGAACGUAGUGAAAUGCGAUAAGUAAUGUGAAUUGCAGAAUUCAGUGAAUCAUCGAAUCUUUGAACGCACAUUGCGCCCGCUAGUAUUCUGGCGGGCAUGCCUGUUCGAGCGUCAUUUCACCACUCAAGCCUGGCUUGGUGUUGGGCGACGUCCCCUUUGGGGACGCGCCUCGAAACGCUCGGCGGCGUGGCACCGGCUUUAAGCGUAGCAGAAUCUUUCGCUUUGGAAGUCGGGGCCCCGUCUGCCGGAAGACCUACUCGCAAGGUUGACCUCGGAUCAGGCAGGGAUACCCGCUGAACUUAAGCAUAUCAAUAAGCGGAGGA
rnacentral:misc_RNA from 1 species